rnacentral:rRNA from 1 species
AUGUCGUGGCAGACGUACGUCGACGACCACCUGUGCUGCGAGAUCGACGGCCAGCACCUCACCUCCGCCGCCAUCCUCGGCCACGACGGCAGCGUCUGGGCCGAGUCCCCCAACUUCCCCAAGUUCAAGCCUGAGGAGAUUGCUGGCAUCGUUAAAGACUUUGAAGAACCUGGACACCUUGCACCAACUGGUCUUUUCCUUGGAGGCACAAAGUACAUGGUCAUCCAAGGUGAACCUGGGGUUGUCAUCCGAGGAAAGAAGGGCACCGGUGGCAUUACUAUCAAGAAGACCGGCAUGGCCCUGAUUCUUGGUAUCUACGAUGAGCCCAUGACUCCUGGCCAGUGCAAUUUGGUCGUGGAGAGGCUCGGCGACUACCUGGUCGAGCAGGGUUUCUAA